UGGGGAAUAUUGGACAAUGGGGGCAACCCUGAUCCAGCAAUGCCGCGUGUGUGAUGAAGGCCCUAGGGUUGUAAAGCACUUUCACUGGUGAAGAUGAUGACGGUAACCAGAGAAGAAGCCCCGGCUAACUUCGUGCCAGCAGCCGCGGUAAUACGAAGGGGGCGAGCGUUGUUCGGAAUUACUGGGCGUAAAGGGCGCGUAGGCGGCUCUUUAAGUUAGGCGUGAAAGCCCCGGGCUCAACCUGGGAACUGCGCUUAAGACUGAAGAGCUAGAAAACGGAAGAGGGUAGUGGAAUUCCCAGUGUAGAGGUGAAAUUCGUAGAUAUUGGGAAGAACACCAGUGGCGAAAGC
rnacentral:rRNA from 1 species